GACGAACGCUGGCGGCGUGCUUAACACAUGCAAGUCGAACGGAAAGGCCCUGCUUUUGUGGGGUGCUCGAGUGGCGAACGGGUGAGUAACACGUGAGUAACCUGCCCUUGACUUUGGGAUAACUUCAGGAAACUGGGGCUAAUACCGGAUAGGAGCUCCUGCUGCAUGGUGGGGGAUGGAAAGUUUCGGCGGUUGGGGAUGGACUCGCGGCUUAUCAGCUUGUUGGUGGGGUAGUGGCUUACCAAGGCUUUGACGGGUAGCCGGCCUGAGAGGGUGACCGGCCACAUUGGGACUGAGAUACGGCCCAGACUCCUACGGGAGGCAGAAGGGGGGAAUAUUGCACAAUGGGCGGAAGCCUGAUGCAGCAACGCCGCGUGCGGGAUGACGGCCUUCGGGUUGUAAACCGCUUUCGCCUGUGACGAAGCGUGAGUGACGGUAAUGGGUAAAGAAGCACCGGCUAACUACGUG
rnacentral:rRNA from 1 species